GACAGGGUCUUGCUCUGGUGCCCAGGCUGGAGUGCAGUGGUGUGAUCAGGGCUCACUGCAGCCUUGACUUCCCACGCUCAAACAAUUCUCCCACCUCAGUCUCCAAGUAGCUGGGUCUACAGGUACAUGUCACCAUGCCUGGCCAUUUUAAAAUUAUUAUUAUUUUUUGUAGAGACAGGGUCUCACUAUGUUGCCCAGGGUGGUCUUGACCUCUUGAACUCCUGGACCCAGGCUGGUCUUGAACUCCUGGACCCACCUUGGCCUCCUGAGGUGCUGGGAUUACAGGUGUCAGCCACCAUGCCCAUCCAGGAGGAAUAAAUUUUGAGAUCUAUUGCACAGCAUAGUGAUAAUAGCCAAAAAUAAUCUAUUCAAAUCUCAAAAUAACCAAGAUAUUCCAAAUGUUUCACCACAAAAAAAUGAUGAGUGAGAUGAUAGUUAUGUUAAUCAGUUUGAUUUAAUUACUUCUCAUUGUAUAUAUGGAAUAUAUAUAUCAAAACAUCACAAUGUACCCCAUAAAUAUAAUUUGUAGAUUAAAAAUAAUAUUAAGAAAAAAUAUGCUAUUGAAAAAAGUAUUUUUCAGGUAAUAAGUAUUCAAAUAAUUUCUGUUUCAAGACUGUCAUGAUUUUCUGUGUUGAGAGUUCAGGUUCAAAUCUAUUUCAUCAAACGUCUCUGUACUAAUUUUUUGUUAAUAAUGUUAUUAAUAAUACUAACAUUUUUAAAGUAAUUCAGUAUUUUGUAAUGUAAUUUGGUCAUUUGAAAUUUAACAUUGCCCAAAAUAUAAUUGUCUAUUCAUUUUUUUUUUUUCUUUAGACAGAGUUUCACUCUGUUGCCCAGGCUGGAGUGCAGUGGUGCGAUGUUGGCUCACUGCAACCUGUGUCUCCUAGGUUCAAGCGAUUCUCCUGCCCCAGUCUCCUGAGUAGCUGAAAUUAUAGGCAGGUGCCACCAUGCCUGGCUAACUUUUGUAUUUUUUAGUGGAGAUGGUGUUUCACCACGUUGGCCAGGCUGGUUUCGAACUACCGACCUCAAGUGAUUGGCCCCCUUGGCCUUCUGAAGUGCUGGGAUUACAGGCGUGAGACACUGUGCCUGGCCAUAACUGUGUAUUCUUAUGACCUCAAUAACUUCAAUAACCUAGUUGCUUUAGCAGGAAAAAGGAAAAGGCAUGGUGUUUCUGUAACAUUUAUAUUUAUCUGUAAAUACUAAUGUGUGAGCCAUGUAUGAAUCUUAUUUCAGUGCUGUUGAAUACCAACCUACAAGAUGCUUUCCAUAAUAAUGUAAACAUAGAAGGAACAUUUCCUCUCUUAAGAAACUUCCAGUUCUGUUUAGGAUAUUACAGACAAUGCAAUAUAUGAUGGCUUUCAAGUAAUUGAUAUAGACACUAAGUAUUUUAAAAGCAUAAGAGAAGCAAGGUCAUUGUCAACAGGGAUGGGCAGGAAGGGCUUCCUGAGAAAGGAGGAUGCAACUGUUUCUUGGUGGAUAAGUGGGAGUCAGAUCAAGGUUGGGGAAACUAUUCCAAGGACACAGAUGUGAAGAUAUCCACAACCAUUUAUGUAAUAUUUCAGCAGGAGUAGAGUUAUUGGGAGGGGAGAGGAGAAGGGAGAGGAGAAGCUGGUUUGAGAACAAAAUGUGGAAUGCUGUGUAUACCAAGUUAAAGGUAGUAAUUCUGAAGAUAAUCCAGAGGUGUUGUGGGAGCUUGAAAAAGAAAACAGAGGCUCAUUUAGAGAAGUAAAUUAUGUCUGCUAAUCAGAAAUUUCAUUUUACAAGCAUGCGAGUGAUCUUAGGUUUUACUGCAUCAGUUUACAUUAAGGCUGAUAGAGUACUAAUUUUAAUUCAUGGACUUAAUGUCUCAAUUUUACUAAUUGUUUAUAUCUCAAGAACUUUGUCAAGAAGUUUCUAUUCUCUUAGUUGAUUUCCUUUUUGUAAAAAAUUCAUAUAUGACUCUAAGUUUCUUUGGUUUUUCUUUGGUCUACAGCAUCAAGUGACCACAGAGUUUGGAAACUGAGACAAGUUGAGAGCUGAUAAAAUAAAAAUAUGCUUCUUAUUCCUAUGCAUUAAUUGGCAUGGUGUGUGAAGUAAAUGCAGUGAGGUGAGAAUCAAAACACUCACAUUAUUCCUGACUUUCUCAUUGAGAAAUGAUGUGGUCCUGGCAAAUUCACAAAUUUUCCAUCUAUGAGUGAGUGACAAUGAGAUAUCCCUGAUCACUUUACAUGGAGGUCAUGUGAUACACCUAAAGAGCAGGUCUCUUCCAACUAGUGGAAAGGUUAAUGGGCAAUGUUUAGGUUUCUGAGCAACUUGCAAAGUGAAGAAAACGAUCUUUAUCAUUCUUCGGCCAUGAAGUUUUCUUCCAAUAACCUGUAGAGUCUCCUCUGGUUCACCAGGACCAUGUGAUUGCUUGAGCUAUGAUUGAUCGCCCAUUAAUAAUGGAAAUUGUGUGCCAGUAAAGUUUUUUUUUUAAUACCAGAGCUUCCUUAAUUUAAAAAUGAUUAAUUAUUUUAAUUAAUACCAUCUCUCUUCUUUAGUGGGUUACACCAUCAAUUGUUGAUUUUCUUCUUCCUGCCAUGGUCUAACUUCACACCAUCCACUAUUUAUGUCAAUCACCAAAGAACAUAUAUUUGGUCUUCAAACUCGUUUCCUGGCUUACAACUUCUAAAACCCUAAGAAACUCCAAAGUGAUGUUCUUGUCUGCUUACGAGUUGACUGGUAGGUGGCAGCCUCUAGGUAGCUUCAGGAUGAG
rnacentral:lncRNA from 1 species